rnacentral:misc_RNA from 1 species
GGAAGGUCAGUUCUUAUUUAAUCUUCUUUUAAGUUGGAUUAGUGUUAAAUUUAGUGCUAUUGCCUUUGUUAAAUGGAUUAUCCAGUCAAUUCUACUUGCAAUCUGGUUUUAGUUACUGAUCUAUCUGCGUGUUCGAGAUUUGUUUCCUUUCAAUUGGAAAGGGUCACAGUGGAAAUAAUUUGUGCUUUGGUUUUAAUCAAUUUUAAACUACUGUGUCAGGUGUAUGAUGUAACACAUUUUCUGGAGGAACACCCUGGAGGAGAUGAAGUGCUGAUAGCAGCUACUGGUAAGAUUGCAACUUUAGUAAACCAAGCAAGCUCAUUGCUCAUUUGUCGCUACUUAAAUUUUUCCCUGCUGCGUUAAGUUCUUCCAUGGUUAUUAAUCAAGAAAGUUCAUGAUUUGGUACGACUUCAUCAAAUUUUUCCAUUUGAAAUUUUGCAGGGAAAGA